rnacentral:rRNA from 1 species
GACAGAGGGGGCAAGCGUUGUCCGGAGUAACUGGGCGUAAAGCGCCCGCAGGUGGUCGCGGCAAGUGCGCUGUGAAAGCCCGCGGCUUAACCGCGGGAGGCCAGGGCAGACUGCCCGACUGGAGCGAUGCAGAGGGUGGUGGAAUUGCCGGUGUAGUGGUGAAAUGCGUAGAGAUCGGCAGGAACACCAAGGGGGAAGCCAGCCACCUGGGCAUCGGCUGACACUGAGGGGCGACAGCGUGGGGAGCGAACUGG